GUAAGGGCCCAGGAAUUUGGACACCUAAUUGGUCACGGUUUUCCUCCAAUUGAGGUCAACUGGAAUGAGGUCAACCCGAAAAUCGAGACCCAAAAAAUUGGUCGUGUGAACUCUCUCUCUUGACCUGGAUCUCCAAGUGUGCGGAUCGUAAAUCAAACUUAAGUUCAGCGGCCGGUUUUUUCCGCGUAGAACAAUAAAGUAUAUUUAUAAAUAGAGUCAGUGAGCUUUAAGUGUUCUCUAGUAUAUCUUUUUAUUUAAAUAUUUUCGCAACGAUAAUACUGCAAGGUGAAAACCCACACGGAAAAAACAGAUAUCUUGAGUCAAGAAAAUAUUUUUGAAGACAAACGUUUCCGGGAACCAAGUCAAGAUUUUCUUGAGCCAAGAGAAUUCGUCUUGGUUGGAGAAAAUUUCUACUUUAUCUGAGAAAAUUUCGGUCUCCAAAAAAAUUUUCUUGAAUCAAGAAUAUUUACCUUCAGUCGAGAAUUUUUUUUUUUUGUGUGCAGUUCAAUAAUAAUUCAAAAUAACAUGACGAAAAUCAUUUUUUUCAUCGUUUUAUCUAUCAUUUUAAUCAAUAAAUUAUCAUCAGCCAAAACUUAUUAUGUAAACCCAGACUAUUUGUAUGAAGACCAACGUGGUGUCGUAUGGACAAAAUUAAGGGAUAUAGCGGAUAAAAAUAAUAUUCAUCAUAAGGAUAAACAUGAAUGGCUAACAUGGCGUUCAACAAUAGUCGUCGUAGGAAAAAAAUCUGAUUUCAAUUCAAUUCCUCUAUUAUCAGGACGUCAUUACAUUCUGAGAGAAAACAAGUAUUACUCAGCGAACAUACCGUUGGCAAAUGAAGUUGAAAGAAACGAAUUAUUUCGAUGGAUACCAAUAGACGUAUUAAAAAAUCUUCAAAAAAAAAAUAUCGAUACCGAACGUUAUACAGUACCAGAUGAAUAUAAAAAAGACUUUGAUAAUUAAGAAAUCGCUGAUUAAACAACUGAAUUCAACCGAAGUUUUAGUUUUGUCAGUUGAUAAUUUUCAUUGUAUGAUCAGUAGAAAUUCUACUCUAUUAGUAAUGCAAAAUUUCUCUUGCCAGCAGAUAUUUACUUAGUUGAGGAACAACACUUAUAGAUAAUCAUUAAAGUUUAAAAAAUUAAUAACAGUCUUUUCACCUAUUUAAUAAAAUUUCAUUGAAAUACAGCUAUUUAUAAUUUCUCAACAAUAAUUUUUGUUUGUCUUUAAGUCAUUUUUACAACGGUGUUUAAACAAAAUAAUCUUUCGUUCUGAAUGUUCGGAUUUGGAUUAUUUUUCUGAUCAGUACUCCGCAGGAAUUCAUUCAAGAAGCAUCUACUUUAUUUACCAAGUGUCAAUUAUUCAGUUGAGUUUUAUGGGGUUGUGUGAUUGUGAAAAUUUUUAUUUUUAUUGAUUUUAAUAUUAUUAUGCUUAUGAGAUUUGUUUGCAUAACUAUUUUUAUGUUUGAUAAUAAAUUACACACUUACGAAUAAGAAUACAUUAUAUUUUUUUUUGUUUUAA